rnacentral:lncRNA from 1 species
CAGAAGAAUACUGUCUACCACCUGAUGGAGAAAUAGUAAUGUUCUAUAUUUCUGAAACUUUUAAUUGUGCUGGUGAAAUGAAAUCCUUUCCAUGGUGUCAGCAGAGGCCACAUGGUGAUCCGGGACCUCAGUUCCCACUCAGGGGGCUGAGGCAUCUCUACUCCUUUGACUUAGGAGGCCAGAACUUUCACCACCACCCAGCAGUAAGCACACACCCACAGUGUCAGCAGAGGCCACAUGGGGAGCAACAGUGAGACACUUCCCCUUUCCAAGGCAGAAUAGCAUCACCUGAGGCCUGGUAGGAGCCUGAAAUCCACCUCUACCCUGUAAGAUGAUGAGUCCCCUCCCUUUGGGGCAUCUGUGGAAACUAAGCAGAGAACCUGGGCUUUUGCUGCCACCUGGCAGUAUCAGGGCAAGUUGGAGUUUUUUCUCAAAGCUGGCAUCAGAGAAACCCUGCUAAAAAGGAUAUUUUAGUCAGAUCCAGGGUCUCAUAACAUAACACCCAAAAUGUCUAGGAUAAAAUAAAAAAAUCUCUCAUCAAGAAGC